CUUAUCACAAAAAAAUGGUGACUGAAUUGACUUCAUUUUUUAUGGUUGAUGUCACACUCACUCGCUCCAGUUCUCUAAUACAGUCAAUGGCCAAGACUCAACUCGGUAGGGACAGAUGGCCAGCAGUGUUUGCUCCUCAGUGGUGCCCUUGAGCAAGACCGAUUUGCUCCAGUGGAGCAGCUUAGGUGCAUUUGUGGUUGUGGAACCGUGUGAGGACGACCAAGGCGUCCUUGAAAACAGUUUUCUCUCAGUGGAGCUCAACGGUAUAAAUAAAGGGCCAAACAACUGCUUCUUCAUUUCAGCAGCACUUCAGUUCCUGAUAUGUUUGUCAAACAAAUCGCAUUCCACGUUUGGGUUUUUAACAGGUUUCAAACUGCAUCAAACGCCAGACAGACAGAGGACAAAAGCAGGAAAAUGAAUGACCUCGACUCACAUUUUUCCAUAAAUAGCAUUGCCCCUCACUCACCACCAAAACACAGCCAGUUAACCUCAUGGCUAAGUCCUUUACAUUAGUUUGAUUUUCCCAAAUGUAAAUGUAUUAUGAGAAAAGUAAAAAUAAGAUAACUUGACUUGGUUGCUACAGGAUGCUCUCUAAUGCUUGUUCUUGGUAAUUAUUAAAGGAGAAAUCACAAACAUUCCGAUACUGCAGCAGAAUUUUUCCUUUUAAAUAUGUUUUUCAGUUUGCUGGUAAAAUGGUUACUUCACACAAGAACAAAUCCUGACAGAUGAUUGGCUUUUUACUGAAUCAAAAACAGUUUCAACUUACAUAAAUAUUUGUUAAAGAGUUGCACAAGUGAACCUUGUCUUUUAAAAUACACACAGACCCCUGCAUGAAUGUGUGAAAGAAGAUAAAGACAACAGACUCAACCUUUUUUUCCUGAACUUUGAGUCCUGUCCUGAAAAAAUAUCAUUUUAGAAAUCACGUUGGAACUAGAGGAUUCAAUCACUCAUUUCAUGCUUAAAGUUAAACGGUUUGCUGGUUCUGUCCAUUUUCUCUUCCUGCUUUGUUCUCCAUAGGUUCACGGGGCUCGUUGGAGGUUGUCCCAGCUUCUUCAGCGCGGAGAUGGAGCAGUCGUGAAGAUGAGGUUUAGUGGAGUACAGAACUGGAUUGAAUGUGAGAUUCUCUGAAUAUUGGUGAACAUGAGGCAUGGUGGCUGACAGAGCUAACGGGAAGUAUAUUUACAAACUUGUCUUUCAGAUUUCAGAGUCAUAUCAGUGUUUCAAAGUGAAACCUGAACUCAGAUCCGGAGAGAAAAAAGAUGCACUCUGCUGACAUCUGCUGAUGCUAAAUAAAUGUGUCAUGCAACAAGCA